AGAGUUUGAUCCUGGCUCAGGAUGAACGCUAGCGGCAGGCUUAACACAUGCAAGUCGAGGGGCAGCGCGGGAUAGCAAUAUCCUGGCGGCGACCGGCGGAAGGGUGCGUAACGCGUGAGCGACAUGCCCGUUGCCCGGGGACAACCGGUGGAAACGCCGACUAAUCCCCGAUGGGAUACGAUGCCUCAUGGCAUUGUAUUGAAAGUUACGGCGGCGACGGAUUGGCUCGCGUCCGAUUAGCUUGUUGGCGGGGUAACGGCCCACCAAGGCUGCGAUCGGUAGGGGUUCUGAGAGGAAGGCCCCCCACAAUGGGACUGAGACACGGCCCAUACUCCUACGGGAGGCAGCAGUGAGGAAUAUUGGUCAAUGGGCGGAAGCCUGAACCAGCCAUGCCGCGUGCGGGAAGGAGGCCCUAUGGGCUGUGAACCGCUUUUGCCUGGGGGCAAUAAGGGCGUCGCGCACGUCCGAUGAGAGUACCAGGCGAAUAAGCAUCGGCUAACUCCGUGCCAGCAGCCGCGGUAAUACGGGGGAUGCGAGCGUUAUCCGGAUUCAUUGGGUUUAAAGGGUGCGUAGGCUGUGCGUCAAGUCGGGGGUGAAAUUCCGGUGCUCAACACCGGGGCUGCCCUUGAUACUGUCGCGCUGGAGUGCGGAUGCCGCCGGAGGAAUGAGUGGUGUAGCGGUGAAAUGCUUAGAUAUCACUCAGAACACCGAUUGCGAAGGCAUCUGGCGAAUCCGUAACUGACGCUGAGGCACGAAAGCGUGGGGAUCGAACAGGAUUAGAUACCCUGGUAGUCCACGCCGUAAACGAUGAUGGCUAACCGCCGGCGACACACUGUCGGUGGCCAAGCGAAAGCGAUAAGCCAU
rnacentral:rRNA from 1 species